rnacentral:rRNA from 1 species
AUUGAACGCUGGCGGCAGGCCUAACACAUGCAAGUCGAACGAGUGGCGGACGGGUGAGUAAUGUCUGGGAAACUGGCUGGUGGAGGGGGAUAAAUACUGGAAACGGGAGCUAAUACCGGAUAGCAUCAGAUGUGGCCAGGGGGGAUUAGGUAGUUGGGGGGGUAACGGCUCACCAAGGCGACGAUCCCUAGCUGGUCUGAGAGGAUGACCAGCCACACUGGAACUGAGACACGGUCCAGACUCCUACGGGAGGCAGCAGUGGGGAAUAUUGCACAAUGGGCGCAAGCCUGAUGCAGCCAUGCCGCGUGUAUGAAGAAGGCCUUCGGGUUGUAAAGUACUUUCAGCGGGGAGGCGUUACCCGCAGAAGAAGCACCGGCUAACUCCGUGCCAGCAGCCGCGGUAAUAC